rnacentral:rRNA from 1 species
AGUCGACGCUGAAGCUCAGCUUGCUGGGUGGAUGAGUGGCGAACGGGUGAGUAACACGUGGGUAAUCUGCCCUGUACUCUGGGAUAAGCCUGGGAAACUGGGUCUAAUACCGGAUAGGACACAUCACCGCAUGGUGGUGUGUGGAAAGUUCCGGCGGUACAGGUUGAGCCCGCGGCCUAUCAGCUUGUUGGUGGGGUGAUGGCCUACCAAGGCGACGACGGGUAGCCGGCCUGAGAGGGUGACCGGCCACACUGGGACUGAGACACGGCCCAGACUCCUACGGGAGGCAGCAGUGGGGAAUAUUGCACAAUGGGCGCAAGCCUGAUGCAGCGACGCCGCGUGGGGGAUGACGGCCUUCGGGUUGUAAACCCCUUUCGCCCGGGACGAAGCGAAAGUGACGGUACCGGGAGAAGAAGCACCGGCCAACUACGUGCCAGCAGCCGCGGUAAUACGUAGGGUGCAAGCGUUGUCCGGAAUUAUUGGGCGUAAAGAGCUCGUAGGCGGUGUGUCACGUCUGCCGUGAAAACCUGCGGCUUAACCGUGGGCGUGCGGUGGAUACGGGCAUCACUUGAGUUCGGUAGGGGAGACUGGAAUUCCUGGUGUAGCGGUGGAAUGCGCAGAUAUCAGGAGGAACACCGGUGGCGAAGGCGGGUCUCUGGGCCGAAACUGACGCUGAGGAGCGAAAGCGUGGGGAGCGAACAGGAUUAGAUACCCUGGUAGUCCACGCCGUAAACGUUGGGCGCUAGGUGUGGGGCGCUGUUCACGUGUCCCGUGCCGUAGCUAACGCAUUAAGCGCCCCGCCUGGGGAGUACGGGCCGCAAGGCUAAAACUCAAGGAAUUGACGGGGGCCCGCACAAGCGGCGGAGCAUGUGGAUUAAUUCGAUGCAACGCGAAG